ensembl:lncRNA
UAUAUAUAUAUAUAUAUAUAUAUAUAUAAUAACAUCAUGGAGGACAGGAAGCAGGGAAUCAGAGAGAAAUAGGAAUGGAGUAGCUUAACCUAAAGAGUUUGCUUCAGAGAGAAUCACACAGAAUUAACACCGAUAUAUUCACAUUUUAAUGGAUACUGAAUUGUUAAAUAGGAUAUAGAUACAAAAAUGUGAAGAGAAGAAAAUUCUUUUUAUUUUUUUAUUUUUUUAUAUAUGUUUUUCUGAUCAGAUGUGACAGUUUCUAGAAUAUUUUUUUUAAAUAAGUUUUUGAAAUAAUAAGUUUUCUCAUAUUAAUCAUUUUUUAUGGGUAUUUCCUGUUUUUGUUGUUUGUUUUGGUUGGUCCUUUUUGCCAAGAAUUGAUUAUUGUGCCCAGUGCACCCUCUUUCAGCAGGUUCACAGCAGAGCGUGAGGUGGGACACCAGAGCUUCACCACCGUCCCUGGAAACAUGUUUCUCUGGUCGAGGUGGUUUUCAUUCAUGGCACAUUUAAUGACCGUUUUGUUUGUUUGUUUUUUUUCUCCUCUGCUCUCAGUUGGUUGUUGGUGUUGUCAGUGGUGUUGUGGUAGGUGGAUAAGUUGUGUGUUUGUCUGUCUAUCUCUCUUUCUCUCUCUGACAUGGCAUUAAUGUGUACACAUGUACAUUUGAACACAUGUUAAUGUUAAAGCCAUCUAUGGAUGAAUCCGAGUAAAUUCUUUAAUGUAUAAUUCUUUUAAAACAAUUUUAGACUCCUGCCAGAGGGAACGCCACCACAUUGUCCUGCAGAAACAUUUCUGCUGGUGAUAUUUACACGUACCCAGUGCCGUCUUAUAUACCAUCUGCUGUACUGUGGAACAAGGACUGUGAGCAAGAGUGUUACAAUGAGGAAGGGGAGUUUUUGUCAGAUGGACGACAACAAGCAAAUAAAACUGAGCACCUACUGGUUCUUAAUGAAACCAUAAACAUCGCAGUCUCUGAAUGCAUCAAUCUUCACCAUUCUGUGACCUGUCAUGGAUCAAAUGAAAAGUUUAAACACACUUACCGAGUGAUCAAUGACACGAUCUCAAGCCAAGAUGUUCCUAAGCAGCAAACCGAUCGCACCACCACCAUCGUCUCUGUCGUCAUUCCGAUUGGACUCCUGCUGAUUGGACUCCUGAUUAGUGUCCUGAUAUGUCUCCACAAAAAACGAAGAUCAGACAUCCCACUGGAGGACAUUACAGCAAGAAACACGGAAGGUGAAGCUCAACUGAACACCUCAAAUACUGAAAACAUGGACCCUGGUGAUACGAGCGCUAACGGCGAUGUUCAAACUGAAGAAGCUCGACCACUCCAACCAUAUCCUUACAGUUGAUGUGUGCAGAGUCGUCGAGAGCGAGUGAGGAUUACGGUUCGGCUUCAGAACUUCUCUCCAGUCUGCUUCUGCCUUUUCUUCAGUCGCACUUUCCCUACACUUUUGCAUCUGGGACACUUUGAAAGUAAAAUUAAGUAGUUAAACUGAGACCGUGGUAUUAUAGGGCUCUACAUAAAAGUGCCAAAUUUUUAAUCAUGACAAAGCAGAUCAAAUUUUUAUACUUUAAUAGUGUUUUGGUGUAAAAAAUAUAUUUUCAUAUAUAUUACUUGCUAUAAAAAUAACAUUUAUAAGAACUAAUUUUUGCCAAAGAAAGGGAAGCUCAAACCAAAGAACCCCAAGAAAAAAAAAAAAACACUUUUCUGCACUUUAAAACACUGCACAUCCUUCUGCACUUUUGUUAUGCUCUACCCUUUUAACUGUGACGAUAGCUGGGGCUGGGCAGCUUCGAGUUGUCAACACUCACCUGAUUGCGCUCCUGGUUUUGACUGCUUCAUCCGAUCCGUGUUUUACUCUGCUAUUUCCGGUAUUGAACUGUGCCAGUUGUGACUAUGAACUUGAUCUUUGCCUUGAUUUUUGUUGGCUACGUAGCUACUGUGUGUGGGAGGCUGCACCAGAACAUCUCUACUACCCUACUACACAGUAGAUGAAAAGCAGUACACCAAAGGAGGAGCAUCUCAGAAUUCUCAGCAUUCAUACAACAGUAUUUAAGAAAUCCCCAGAUGACCUACUGCUUCCCCCGAGAUUCUGCAGUGUGGAAUAACUGGACACUGUGCUAUCCCAUAAUGCAACGUGGCAUGGAAGAGCUGUCAGAAUCAAACCUGGCGCAUCGGCUUUUUAAGCUGUAGGUCACAUGACUAUGCCAACCUGGUGGCUGUAGUGCUUAUAAGCCCUUUCCUUAACUUGCACUGUGGGGCCAAACCUUAGACUGGGUUGUCAUCAACACUACUCUACGUCAUUGAAUCAACGCUAUAGAGAGCACAGCUGGUGGCUUCAUCAGCAGCCCAGUGCUUGUUCCUUUUUAUUUUCUCAUUGUGAUUGACCUUUGCUAUCUCCUUUAUUUUUUAUGUCUGUAAUUUUUUUUGUGCAUGUGUAAAUUUGUUAGCAUUCUUUAUAUACUGUUACCAGGUGUAGGGUUCAGCUGCCAUUUCUUUCUGGGUUUUGUCUGUUUUAUUUUAUUUUUAUUUAUUUUAUAUUACCAAUAUUGCACAAGUAUGUGUGUAUGUAAUUCAUAAACCGAAGUAUUCUUAGUAGUCUUUUUUUCUUUUUCUUUAGCCAUCCAUCUUUUAUCCCAGUCAAACCUAUCCUGUUAUCUUCAACCCUAGACUGGGGUGCAUCACUGUCCUCCAUUCCAGAAAAUCUGAGACAGCAACAAAAGAGAGACAAUUUUUAGAAAGUAACAAGUCUGUUUUUACAGAAGGAAGGGAAUUGGUGGCGCAACCUAUCAUAACCCUGUAACAGGAAGUCUUAUUUCUGCCCCCAUAAUGGUGAAAUUUAACUUGGCUCAGGAGCAGAUCGAGUGGAAAGUAAAGUGCACAUGUCUCAGUGCUUCUGAUAUUUUAACAAAAAUAUAUUUGGACGCUCAAUUCGUUACCCCACUCUCACUAAUAAACUCUCUCUGUGUGUGUGUAUGUGUGAGAGCAAGAGAGAGAUUGAUAACACCUGUCUGUUCAGAUCUGUGACACAAGUUAGUAAGAAAAUAAAGUUGAUAAUAAGUAAGCAAGAGGGAGGUUUCAUACUUGACCAAAAUUGAGGGUUUAAAAUAGAGCUUUUUCUGGAAUAUUUCUCAAACCCACUUCAGCAUUCCAGUAAACAUGCA